rnacentral:rRNA from 1 species
CCCCUAGAUGUUCUGGGCCGCACGCGCGCUACACUGAACAGUUCAACAAGUCUUAACCUUGGCCGAUAGGUCUGGGUAAUCUUUGAACGCUGUUCGUGACUGGGAUAGACCUUUGCAAUUAUGGGUCUUCAACGAGGAAUUCCUAGUAAACGCAAGUCAUCAGCUUGCAUUGAUUACGUCCCUGCCCUUUGUACACACCGCCCGUCGCACCUACCGAUUGAAUGGUCCGGUGAAAUCUCGGGACGGCGGCUUGGUCGCUUGCGUCCGACUGCUGAAACUUGAUUAAACCAUAUCAUUUAGAGGAGGGUGAAGUCGUAACA